rnacentral:rRNA from 1 species
AUUGAACGCUGGCGGCAUGCCUUACACAUGCAAGUCGAACGGCAGCACGGGUGCUUGCACCUGGUGGCGAGUGGCGAACGGGUGAGUAAUACAUCGGAACAUGUCCUGUAGUGGGGGAUAGCCCGGCGAAAGCCGGAUUAAUACCGCAUACGAUCUACGGAUGAAAGCGGGGGACCUUCGGGCCUCGCGCUAUAGGGUUGGCCGAUGGCUGAUUAGCUAGUUGGUGGGGUAAAGGCCUACCAAGGCGACGAUCAGUAGCUGGUCUGAGAGGACGACCAGCCACACUGGGACUGAGACACGGCCCAGACUCCUACGGGAGGCAGCAGUGGGGAAUUUUGGACAAUGGGCGAAAGCCUGAUCCAGCAAUGCCGCGUGUGUGAAGAAGGCCUUCGGGUUGUGAAGCACUUUUGUCCGGAAAGAAAUCCUUGGCCCUAAUACGGUCGGGGGAUGACGGUACCGGAAGAAUAAGCACCGGCUAACUACGUG